rnacentral:rRNA from 1 species
UACAGAGGUGGCAAGCGUUGUUCGGAAUUACUGGGCGUAAAGGGCGCGUAGGCGGUUCGUUAAGUCCUGUGUGAAAUCCCCCGGCUCAACUGGGGAACUGCACAGGAAACUAGCGGGCUUGAGUUCGGGAGAGGGAAGCGGAAUUCCGGGUGCAGCGGUGAAAUGCGUAGAUAUCCGGAGGAACACCGGUGGCGAAGGCGGCUUCCUGGACCGACACUGACGCUGAGGCGCGAAAGCUAGGGGAGCAAACGGG